rnacentral:pre_miRNA from 1 species
ACAACAUUCGGACCGUCGGUCUACCGAGCAAUAUCACCCGCUCGGUGGAAGAUCUUCUCUCUGUCGU